AGAACGAACGCUGGCGGCAUGCCUAACACAUGCAAGUCGAGCGAGACCUUCGGGUCUAGUGGCGCACGGGUGCGUAACGCGUGGGAAUCUGCCCUUGGGUUCGGGAUAACAGUUGGAAACGACUGCUAAUACCGGAUGAUAUCUUCGGAUCAAAGAUUUAUCGCCCAGGGAUGAGCCCGCGUAGGAUUAGCUUGUUGGUGAGGUAAGAGCUCACCAAGGCGACGAUCCUUAGCUGUCUAAGAGGAUGAUCAGCCACACUGGGACUGAGACACGGCCCAGACUCCUACGGGAGCAGCAGUGGGGAAUAGUUGGACAAGUGGGCGAAAGCCUAGGAUUCCAGUAAUGCCGCGUGAGUGAUGAAGGCCUUAGGUUGUAAAGUCUACGUUUACCCGGAUGAUAAGUGACAGUACCGGAAGAAGUAACGCCCCGGAUAACCGUCCGACGU
rnacentral:rRNA from 1 species